GAAACCUCAUCUUCGAUCGUUCGCCAUCCGGGGCGUCGAUCAGUGCUUUUUAGCACGAGCGUCCGCUCGGGUGAGGAGAAAGU
rnacentral:ncRNA from 1 species